GGGGCAUUUUUCAGGGCUUUCACCCCAAUUGCCUUGCUGAACGCCUCCCUCUUGGUGAGCUGUUUACAUGGAGGUGAAUAGAUUCUGCAGCUGUCUCUUUCUGUGGCCUGGUAACAACCCCAGUGUUGUUCUGGACAAGAAUAUGCUCACUUUCAAAUCGUGGAUUACUCUAUGACAAUAAAAAAAAUUCUGGUUUGCAGUUUGCCAGCCUCUCUUGCCCCAGGGAACAUGCAUAAGUCACAGUCUUGCCCCAUAAGACUAAACUGAACUCUGUGAGCACUGCCCUCCUUUAUGUUUUUGUUAGUCCUGCUCUAAAUGUGGCUGUGAUGGCUAGAGCUGCAACAUUCAUUUUACAACCAUGUUCCUGCAAGCAGAAGAGUGAAGGCAAUAUGCUAAAGACUGAAAAUAAAGAAAGGAUCUGGACUUCAAAGAUGUCAUCAACAGCUGCCAACCUCUAAAUAUUUGAUAUGAAAAAAAUUCUUAUUUAAGGCACUGUUAGUUUGGUUUUUGUGGUAACUUACAAUUGAAUUCAAUCUCAACAGAUAAUUAUAAACAAUCCCAGUAGACACACAUCAACAUGAGAAAGGGGGUUAGGGUUGAGUUGUAGAGAGAGAAAUGCAAGGCUAAAGAGCAAGAGAAUACUUCCUUCUGUGAUCAUACUUUUGGACAAGGUUGCACUUCUGUGUGACAUCUAAACUGUAGGUGUCAUACCAAGGCCGUACAUGGUUUCUAAAGGCCAGCUAAUGAAGCAGCCAUAAACAUCACUUAUCUAGCACACAGAAUUGAUGCUUUAUCCGUUUGACCAUAUGUGACUGGGCACAUGUGUUGGUGUGCAUUUUUACACAAAGCUUUGUAUAGGCCAAGACCUGGGCUACAAGUAAGACAUUUGGGUUCUAUCUCUGGCUAUUCCACUUACUAGAUGAAUAUAUUACUCAGGAUAGGCUAGAUUGUGCUGCAAUAAAACAAUAAGUGUUAAAAAUAAAAUAAAAUAAACAAUCUCCAGGUCUUAGUGGCUUAAAAGAGUAAAAA
ensembl:lncRNA novel transcript